GACCCAGGCAUGUGGUAAUGGUGGCUCAUCGGUGUAGAGCAUCGGUGGUACUAUAGACACUACUGCACGCAAACCAAAUCGACCCCAUUCCUGGUUACCGAAUCAAGGAAGAAGAGGAUCGCACGAAUCGAAUCGGAGUAAUCGAGCCGACAGAAACGAUGGGAUUAGCCGGGAUAGCAAGAGAGGAAGGAUCGAUCGGAGCAGGACAAGGGAUGAAGGGAAUGCGCGCCCUCGCCGUUCUCCUGGCGGCCUUCCACUGCCUGCGGUUCAUCUCCAUCUGCAACGGAGUUGGAGAAACGGACCGAGUAACCGUCCCGACGGAGUCGGAGAAGAAGCAAAGCGCUGCUAGCUAGGCGCCAUGUGUUGGUGAGCCAGAACAAACGGGGCUGAUCAAUUCUCAUGUUUACAGCCCACAGAUAAGCUUAGAUCCUUAAAAAACGUGCAGAAACAAAUGGAAAAAGGUACGUCUUGGUUUAUUAGUUGUGUCGGCAAUUUGUUCCGUUUUCUUUCUCAUUGAUUCACUACCAUGCAUUGAGACGUUUGUGUCCUUUGACCAAAAAUUACUGUGACUUGUGUGAUACAAAUCAUAAUCAUGAACAAAUACUCCCUCCGUCCCAUAUUAAGUGACGAAAUAUUACAUGUAUAUAGACACUUUUUGGAUAUAGAUACAUUUAUAUUUGGACAAAUUCGAGUCAUUUAAUAUGAGACGGAGGGAGUACCUUUGGCAAUGAUAUCAAUUUUAUUAAAAAAUAUAUUAAUAGACUAAUACUCCUCAAAGGAAACACUUUGGCAAUGAUAUCAAUUUUAUUAAAAAAAAUAUUAAUGGACUAAUACUCCUCAAAGGAAACAAAAUACGUCAUAAUAUUAGGAACGAAGGGAGUACUGGUUAAGAGCUGAAUUCAUGGUAAGCAUAUGUACUGUGACACUGGUUCAAAAUAGAACUCUGUACUGGUUAGAGUUGAAUUACAAGUUCCCGAUAAAAAAGAAUUGGCUUCAAAGAAUUCAAAAUUCACGAAAAAUUUAUAGGGCAAUAGAGCAUCACAGAAUAGAACUCUGUUUACCCGCAUUUAACUAAAGUAUAAGCAAAUCAGAUCAUCAAAGUCACAGAAUUCUUGCCUAAUAUCAUGGAGAAAAAUUUCUUUU